rnacentral:misc_RNA from 1 species
GGCAAAUCAGACAAAUUGAAUCCAGUUACUUUAAGACUUACUGCUCCAAAUCCUUGGAAAAAAAAAAUUCCCUCGACAUCUGCUAUCAAGGUUUAGACCACAUUAUAAUUCAAUUGUCAAGGCUUAUGUUUCGGACACCGUAAUGUUAGCUUAACCAAAUAAUAUGUCUCCUAAUCCGGCAAUGUCUCCAUUGGCUGAAGGCAAUCACCCCAUCUUAUCUAAGAGACUGACUUCCAUUCUAAUUUGGACUCCUUUCAGAUAUGAGUCCAUCCGACGCAGUUGCACUUGAUAUACAUGUUUUUGCUCUUGGCUCAGAUUCGCGUCGUCUGCUGUCUUAAGCGUGUGAAGAGAUUGCCAUUAAAAAACAAAAAAUCCUCUCUCAUCAUCCCACUGCCAGUCGGACCUACAAAUGCCAUGAACUAUACUUUCUUGGUUUUAGAGUCUUU